rnacentral:rRNA from 1 species
UACGGAGGGAGCAAGCGUUGUCCGGAAUCAUUGGGCGUAAAGCGCGCGUAGGUGGCCUCAUAAGUCCGCUGUGAAAGUCAAAGGCUCAACCUUUGAAAGCCGGUGGAUACUGUGAGGCUAGAGUACGGAAGAGGCGAGUGGAAUUCCUGGUGUAGCGGUGGAAUGCGCAGAUAUCAGGAGGAACACCAAUAGCGAAGGCAGCUCGCUGGGACGUUACUGACACUGAGGCGCGAAAGCGUGGGGAGCGAACAGG